rnacentral:rRNA from 1 species
GAUAUUCCUGUACCACCUAGUAUCGUUUUAAUCGAUGGGGGGACGCAGUAGGAUAGGCGAAGCGUGCUGUUGGAGUGCACGUCCAAGCAGUAAGGCUGAGUGUUAGGCAAAUCCGGCACUCAUAAGGCUGAGCUGUGAUGGGGAGAGGAAAUUGUUUCCUCGAGUCGCUGAUUUCACACUGCCGAGAAAAGCCUCUAGAUAGAUAACAGGUGCCCGUACCGCAAACCGACACAGGUAGUCAAGAUGAGAAUUCUAAGGUGAGCGAGCGAACUCUCGUUAAGGAACUCGGCAAAAUGACCCCGUAACUUCGGGAGAAGGGGUGCUCUUUAGGGUUCACGCCCAGAAGAGCCGCAGUGAAUAGGCCCAAGCGACUGUUUAUCAAAAACACAGGUCUCUGCUAAACCGUAAGGUGAUGUAUAGGGGCUGACGCCUGCCCGGUGCUGGAAGGUUAAGAGGAGUGGUUAGCUUCUGCGAAGCUACGAAUCGAAGCCCCAGUAAACGGCGGCCGUAACUAUAACGGUCCUAAGGUAGCGAAAUUCCUUGUCGGGUAAGUUCCGACCCGCACGAAAGGCGUAACGAUUUGGGCACUGUCUCAACGAGAGACUCGGUGAAAUCAUAGUACCUGUGAAGAUGCAGGUUACCCGCGACAGGACGGAAAGACCCCGUGGAGCUUUACUGUAGCCUGAUAUUGAAAUUCGGCACAGCUUGUACAGGAUAGGUAGGAGCCUUUGAAACGUGAGCGCUAGCUUACGUGGAGGCGUUGGUGGGAUACUACCCUAGCUGUGUUGGCUUUCUAACCCGCACCACUUAUCGUGGUGGGAGACAGUGUCAGGCGGGCAGUUUGACUGGGGCGGUCGCCUCCUAAAAGGUAACGGAGGCGCUCAAAGGUUCCCUCAGAAUGGUUGGAAAUCAUUCAUAGAGUGUAAAGGCAUAAGGGAGCUUGACUGCGAGACCUACAAGUCGAGCAGGGUCGAAAGACGGACUUAGUGAUCCGGUGGUUCCGCAUGGAAGGGCCAUCGCUCAACGGAUAAAAGCUACCCCGGGGAUAACAGGCUUAUCUCCCCCAAGAGUUCACAUCGACGGGGAGGUUUGGCACCUCGAUGUCGGCUCAUCGCAUCCUGGGGCUGUAGUCGGUCCCAAGGGUUGGGCUGUUCGCCCAUUAAAGCGGUACGCGAGCUGGGUUCAGAACGUCGUGAGACAGUUCGGUCCCUAUCCGUCGUGGGCGUAGGAAAUUUGAGAGGAGCUGUCCUUAGUACGAGAGGACCGGGAUGGACAUACCUCUGGUGUACCAGUUGUCGUGCCAACGGCAUAGCUGGGUAGCUAUGUAUGGACGGGAUAAGUGCUGAAAGCAUCUAAGCAUGAAGCCCCCCUCAAGAUGAGAUUUCCCAACUUCGGUUAUAAGAUCCCUCGAAGAUGACGAGGUUAAUAGGUUCGAGGUGGAAGCGUGGUGACACGUGGAGCUGACGAAUACUAAUCGAUCGAAGACUUAAUCAA